AUGAAGAUUUUAGCAUGGAACUGUAACGGGCUCGGGAAUGCCCCGGCAGUUAGAGCUUUGUUGGAUGUCCAACGGAGAUGUGAUCCCGAGGUGUUGUUUUGGUCGGAGGCACACCUAGACAGCUACCCGGCAGAGAGCUUAAGAAGGAGACUGAACAUGGACCAAAAAUUCGUUUGCCCUAGCAACGGAAGGAGAGGAGGUUUGAUCAUGCUCUGGAGGAAUACGGUUAAUGUGCAGAGGCUCGAACUGGAUCCAAUGUUUAUAGAUGUGCAAAUAAAUGACAGCAGUAAUACAUCUUGGCACCUGACAGGGAUGUAUGGAGAGUUCAGAUGGGAGAACAAGUUCAUGACUUGGGAUCGCAUGCGGCGACUCCACGAAAACCAUCAACUCCCAUGGUUACUUAUCGGCGAUCUCAACGAGAUUCAGUUGUUGCAUGAGAAGGAAGGAGGCAACCCUCGUCGACAACAAUACAUGCAUGCUUUUCAGAACGCAAUUGAUGACUGUGACUUAAGGGACUUGGGAUUUAUUGGAGACAAAUUCACUUGGCAGCGUGGGAGGAUCAGAGAAAGACUUGACCGUGGUCUGGUCAAUACCGCAUGGGCCGAUUUGUUUCCGCAAGCUGCGCUAGAGAACUUGGAAUAUAAUCAUUCGGAUCAUCGCCCUCUACUAGUUAAUACAGAUUUUUAUGGUGACCCAAUGGAUGGGGGACACAACGUACCACCUAGGAGGUUGAGGCGCGCUGGUUAA
rnacentral:rRNA from 1 species